AUUGAACGCUGGCGGCAGGCCUAACACAUGCAAGUCGAGCGGCAGCGGGAAAGUAGCUUGCUACUUUUGCCGGCGAGCGGCGGACGGGUGAGUAAUGCCUGGGAAAUUGCCCAGUCGAGGGGGAUAACAGUUGGUAACGACUGCUAAUACCGCAUACGCCCUACGGGGGAAAGCAGGGGACCUUCGGGCCUUGCGCGGUUGGAUAUGCCCAGGUGGGAUUAGCUAGUUGGUGAGGUAAUGGCUCACCAAGGCGACGAUCCCUAGCUGGUCUGAGAGGAUGAUCAGCCACACUGGAACUGAGACACGGUCCAGACUCCUACGGGAGGCAGCAGUGGGGAAUAUUGCACAAUGGGGGAAACCCUGAUGCAGCCAUGCCGCGUGUGUGAAGAAGGCCUUCGGGUUGUAAAGCACUUUCGGCGAGGAGGAAAGGUUGAUGCCUAAUACGUAUCAACUGUGACGUUACUCGCAGAAGAAGCACCGGCUAACUCCGUGCCAGCCGCCGCAGUAAUAC
rnacentral:rRNA from 1 species